rnacentral:rRNA from 1 species
UACGUAGGGUGCAAGCGUUAUCCGGAUUUAUUGGGCGUAAAGAGUCUGUAGGCGGAAAUUUAGGUGGCGGGUUAAAUCUCACAGCUCAACUGUGAACAUGCUCGUCAAACCGGGUUUCUAGAGUGUGCUAGGGGAGGUUGGAAUUCUCGGUGGAGGGGUGAAAUCCGUUGAUAUCGAGAGGAACGCCAAGGGCGAAAGCAAACCUCUGGGGCAUUACUGACGCUAAGAGACGAAAGUUAGGGUAGCAAAAGGG